GGUCGUAGACCCGAAACCAGGUGAUCUACCCUUGGUCAGGUUGAAGUUCAGGUAACACUGAAUGGAGGACCGAACCGACUUACGUUGAAAAGUGAGCGGAUGAACUGAGGGUAGCGGAGAAAUUCCAAUCGAACUUGGAGAUAGCUGGUUCUCUCCGAAAUAGCUUUAGGGCUAGCCUCAAGUGAUGAUUAUUGGAGGUAGAGCACUGUUUGGACGAGGGGCCCCUCUCGGGUUACCGAAUUCAGACAAACUCCGAAUGCCAAUUAAUUUAACUUGGGAGUCAGAACAUGGGUGAUAAGGUCCGUGUUCGAAAGGGAAACAGCCCAGACCACCAGCUAAGGUCCCAAAAUAUAUGUUAAGUGGAAAAGGAUGUGGCGUUGCCCAGACAACUAGGAUGUUGGCUUAGAAGCAGCCAUCAUUUAAAGAGUGCGUAAUAGCUCACUAGUCGAGUGACACUGCGCCGAAAAUGUACCGGGGCUAAACAUAUUACCGAAGCUGUGGAUUGUCCUUUGGACAAUGGUAGGAGAGCGUUCUAAGGGCGUCGAAGCAUGAUCGCAAGGACAUGUGGAGCGCUUAGAAGUGAGAAUGCCGGUGUGAGUAGCGAAAGACGGGUGAGAAUCCCGUCCACCGAUUGACUAAGGUUUCCAGAGGAAGGCUCGUCCGCUCUGGGUUAGUCGGGUCCUAAGCUGAGGCCGACAGGCGUAGGCGAUGGAUA
rnacentral:rRNA from 1 species